rnacentral:tRNA from 1 species
GCCCCGGUAGCUCAACUGGAUAGAGCGCUUGGCUUCGGACCAAGAGGUUAGGAGUUCAACUCUUCUCCGGGGCA